ensembl:snRNA U1 U1 spliceosomal RNA
AUACUUAACUGGCAGGGGAGAUACCAUGAUCAUGAAGGUGGUUUUCCCAGGGUGAGGCUCAUCCAUUGCACUCCAGAUGUGCUGACCCCUGUGAUUUUCCCAAACGCAGAAAACUCAACUGCAUAAUUUGUGGUAGUGGGGGACUGUGUUUGCACUAUCCCCUG